CUGUAGCAUCCACUUGCCGGUCCUGUGAGUUAAUAGGGAAUCCAGUGCGAAUCUGGAGCUGACGCGCAGCGGUAAGGAAAGGUGCGAUGAUUGCGUUAUGCGGACACUCGCCAUUCGGUGGGAAGUCAUCAUCUCUUAGUAUCUUAGAUACCCCUCCAAGCCCGAAGACCUGCCGGCCAACGUCGCAUCUGG
rnacentral:ncRNA from 11 species